rnacentral:tRNA from 1 species
GCGAGGGUGGCGGAAUGGCAGACGCGCUAGACUUAGGAUCUGGUGGGGUAACUCGUGGGGGUUCAAGUCCCCCCUCUCGCACCA